rnacentral:lncRNA from 15 species
CGCUGCUUUAACAACCUCUGUUCCCAUUAAAAUGCCUCCUGUCGGAGGGGGUGAUACAGAAAUGAUUUCUGUUGGUUUGAUAAAUAUUUUUUUUUACCAAAGAAUAUGAGUAACUCUCAGCAAUUGUAGAUAUGAUUACAAUUUCUUUGUAUUACAUAUACUAAACUCACAUCAGAUGACUCAGAAUGUUUUUAGUUAGUUGUUAAACAUGGUGUGUGUUUACUUUUUAUCAUUGUAGGUUGUAGGUAUCAUUGUGUUGUUUCAAAUCAAAGAACUGUCAUAAAGUGUACUGAUCAAGUGUAGAAAAGCACAUCUUGUUUAUUGACUUUAUAUUAAUGUGUUUGUAGGUCAAGCACCACAGAUGAGUCUACAGCAUAUUCAUGGUGAACACGUUCACUUUGUUUGCUCUCUGCCUGGAUCUACUAAUAAUGAUACGAGAUGUAACCUGUACUUUGGAGAAGAAAGUGAUCCAGUUGUAACAACAACCAUCUGGAAGAAGAGAAGCUCAACCAAUCGGUGGUUUUGCCAGUUUAGUGUCCCAAUUGAUGAUUUGCUGAAACGUCUAUGUUUAGUUAAACAGAGUGAUGCCAGCUGUGAUUACAAUUUGGGAAGUGAACCCAACUCUUUGUCUCCUCGCAGUGAUCGAUACAACUUGACUGAUAUUGUGGAAAGAAAGUCAAGUAUGACCCAGAGAAUGCCAACAUUUACUGUGACCACAGAGAAGAUAAUAUUGAUUAUUGGAGCAGUUGUGACUGUGGAUGCUGUCUUACUUGGAUUGGCACUUCUCUUUAUUCAAAGCAGGACUGAAAACUGCCUUUCAAAUAGACCAAAAGCAAACUUCACUGAUGACAGGGAAUAUAUGGGUGCGUACAGUGAAACAUACAGUAUCGUCAUCUAUGAAUGAACACUGACAGCAGCAGCUAAAAGAAGCAGCUACAUCAGCCCUCUGACAUACAGUGUAAAGCACUCUAAAGUCUAUUUAAACUGAUUUUUAUUUACAGAGCAGAUAUUAGCAUGUUGUAAUAUUUCAAUUGAACCUUGGUGAGCUUGUUUUCUGUUCCUGAUUCUGAUUAUGUAUAUAUGUAUAUGCUUUCUGUAUGAUGAAUACAAGUCUCUUAUGUAUAUCAUGUAUGAUUAAGUGUUGUUGAUUAAGUUGUUUGGCAAUUGAACUCAAGUAGCCCCUUGUAAUACAAAGGAACAUACACCAAUCAGCCAUUAUGACCACCUGGGCAUCCUGGUGGUCAUAAUGUUCUGCAGCCCCAUACCAAUGUUCUGACACAUUUCUCUCAGAACCAGCAUUAACUUUUUCAGCAGUUCGAGCUACAGUAGCUCGAAUGUUGGAUCAGAUCACACAGGCCAGCCUUCACUCCCCACGUGCAUCAAUGAGCCUUGGUUGCUGCUUCACCGCUUCACCACUCCUUGGAACCCUUUUGAUAGGUACUGACCACUGCAGACCAGGAACACCCCACAAGAGCUGCAGUUUUGGAGAUGCUCUGAACCGAGGCGUCUGGUCAUCACAAUUUGACCCUUGUCAAAGUCGCUCAAAUCCUCAAGCUGCCCAUUUUUCCUGCUUCUAACGCAUCACCUUUGAGGACAAAAUGUUCCCUUGCUGCCUAAUAAUGGUCAUAAUGUUAUGGUUGAACAGUGUAUGUUGAAGUUUUUAUGAGAUGGUCAUAUGAUUUUAUGUAACAUAGAAGAGUAAGGAGACGAAAAAUGUGUCUUAUGAUAAUUUUUUUUUAGAAAAGAUAGCUUGGAUAAUAUUGAGUAAAAUCAUCUGUUUCUUGUCAGUUGGUUACAGUUGAUCUGUUUUUUUGUGAAAUGUUAUACGAGAGACUUCUCUUCAGUCAUCUGCUAGAUGCAGCCAGUGACUCCUGCUUGAAAGCAAUAAAGAUGGGUAGAGAUGCAGCACGUUCUGUCGACUUAGGUUUUGAUUGCCUUAUUCUCAUAUGCACUAGACAAGAACUAAAAUUCAGUUGCCACCACAGAACUUUGCUAGAUUGACAAUAACGUGUAUCAUAUAUUGCAUUGAAUAACAAAAAACAAACAAACAAUAUACACAAUUGGUAAACAAAAAGUCCCACGAAUUUCAGAAGUUCUAGUUCAUAUUUAUUUAUAUAGUGCUUUAAACAUAAAAAAAAACAUCUUUGUACCUAAAUGCUUUACAUAAGAGGAAUGAAACAUUUUAUAGGGAAGAACAUGCAGUUGGUACAAUGAUUGAAUGUUCAGGACAAACAUGAAAUGACUGCAUGAACAUGGACAUGAACACAAAUGUGAGCCAUUUUCAAAAAUUAUUUAAGUCAAGACUGCGUUUGCUUUCACUGACACACACACACACACACACACACACACAGACACACAUACUGUGACUCUACAUAUUGUUCAGUUUGUGUAUUUUACUAAUAUGGGAAAAAAAUAUAAAGCUGCUGUCUGUGAAAAACAACAAUAAAGCAACAGAAAUAAUAAACAAACACAAUCAUAUUUCUUCAGAGUUCACUUUGGAUGAUUCAUUAUUUAUAUAUAUAUAUUUUCCUUUUUUUUUUUUUUUUUUUUUUUUUUUUUUUUUACAGAUUAGCUAUGUCAAGAGUGUGUGUUUCUGUGGCCUCUCUGUCUGUGUGAUUAUCAUAUGAUGCUAGCUGUGGGUUUCCUGAGAGCAAAUUUAGCGCAGUGACACUUAAGUAUGUCAGAGUCUGUAGUCAGACACUGAAGUAUCUUUAUGGACAGUCUCAGUAGUCAGCUUCAUCAUGGCUGGACGCCUGUUGUUUGUCUUCCUCAUGUGUAAGUUAAACCUCUUAUGGAUUAUUUCAUUAUUAAUGUAGAUUAUUACAAACCAAUGCAGGUUCACACUUGCAUGACAUGACAUUAAAUUAUAAUGUCAGCCAUUAUGUAUCAACAUGUCAUACCACACUACAUCUCUGUUGAUGACUUUAUGUGUGUUGUUGCUCUGUGCUGUUUACUUGUAAACUUAUCGUGGAACUGCAGUAAUAAUUCCCCCACUGGGACAAACUAAAUAUUUCAGUUUUAGUCUUUUUCUACAUGUUGCU